GACGUAGGAUGCGAGCGUUUGUCCGGAAUUAUUGGGCGUAAAGGGCGCGUAGGCGGCCUGGCAAGUGGAAGGUGAAAUCCCUCGGCUUAACCGAGGAACUGCCUCCCAAACUGCUUGGCUUGAGACCAGGAGAGGUGAGUGGAAUUCCCAGUGUAGCGGUGAAAAUGCGUAGAUAUUGGGAGGAACACCAGUGGCGAAGGCGGCUCACUGGACCAUACUGACGCUGAUGCACGAAAGCUAGGGGAGCAAACAGG
rnacentral:rRNA from 1 species